GGGUUUUAAACUUGGCUUCCUCCAUCCCGCCCUCUCCUGCUCCUGGGCUCCUGCGCAUACUGUGCCGUCCCGGAGGAGGUGAGGCGUCUGUCCUUCAGGGAUCCCCCCAGACCUGGCAUGGAGAGCUUGGAGGAGUGCGGAGAGGACGCCGCGCUGGAGCCCUGCAGGACCCCCCAGGCCUCCGUGACAUUCAAGGAUGUGGCCGUGGACUUCACCUGGGAGGAGUGGAGACUCCUGGACCCUCCCCAGAAGGAGCUGUUCUGGGAGGUGAUGCUGGAGAACUACAGGAACCUGGUCUGCCUGGGCCUUGCUGAUUCAAACAAGGAUGUGAUGAUGUCUAAGCUGGAGUCAGGGGAACCACAUUGGAUUCCAACUGGUGGUGUCCUAAGAAGCUGGUGGCCAGGUUGGGAAUCCAGGCCUCAGAACAAGGAGUCAGCUCCCAAGAUGAGUAUUUCUAUGAAAGUCUUAUCCCAGGAAAAGUUCUUGGAGGAUGAUCUAAGAAUCUGCAAGAUGGCGAAAGCCUGGGAGUGUGAUGGCAGGUUGAAGAAAAAGGAGAGCAUGGAGGGGAAACCUUCUAGAGGAAUAAAAAUAAUUCAAGUAGAACCUCCCAAUGAGGCUGGAGGCUCUGAAUAUGGUAUAUACAGUCAGACCUCUAGCCCAGAGCCAGGCCUUUUUCCACAACAGGGAGCAUCUGUAGUUAUGCAGGGCCAGAAAGGAGAUAACCAGAGAGGGCGUUCCACCAUGUAUUUGAACCAAGGACAAAGAGAUCAAAUCCAUUCCAGGAAGAAACGUCGUAAGGUUAACAAAUGUCAGAAAGUGCUGGGUCCUGAUUUGGGCUGCAUAAAAAAACGUGGAAUUCUUUCUGAAGAGAAAGUUCAUGAAACGGGGAAUUCAUUCCCUCGUAUUAAUGAAUUUGGUCCACACCAGACAACCGAUAGGAGAAAAAAGUGUAAUGAGUUAACUAAAUGGAGGAAGACAGUUUGUGCUGAACUUUACUGUCAUCAUCAGAGUAGAGAGAGACGGUACAAAUGCAGUGAAUGUGGAAAGGCCUUCCAGAAAAAGGGGCAUCUUAAAGCACAUUACAGAAUCCAUACUGGAGAGAAACCUUUUAAAUGCAGUGAAUGUGGAAAGGCCUUCCCGCAAAAGGGGGAUCUUAAAAAACAUUACAGAAUCCAUACUGGAGAGAAACCUUUUAAAUGCAGUGAAUGUGGAAAGGCCUUCCCGCAAAAGGGGGAUCUUAAAAAACAUUACAGAAUCCAUACUGGAGAGAAACCUUUUAAAUGCAGUGAAUGUGGAAAGGCCUUCCCGCAAAAGGGGGCUCUUAAAACACAUUUCAGAAUUCAUACUGGAGAGAAACCUUUUAAAUGCAGUGAAUGUGGAAGGGCCUUCCAGCAAAAGGGGGAUCUUAAAAAACAUUACAGAAGUCAUACUGGAGAGAAACCUUUUAAAUGCAGUGAAUGUGGAAAGGCCUUCCAGCAAAAGGGGGUUCUUAAAACACAUUUCAGAAUUCAUACUGGAGAGAAACCUUUUAAAUGCAGUGAAUGUGGAAAGGCCUUCCAGCAAAAGGGGGUUCUUAAAACACAUUUCAGAAUUCAUACUGGAGAGAAACCUUUUAAAUGCAGUGAAUGUGGGAAAGCCUUUUCCAGGGCUGGAACACUAAAACGACAUCAGAGUACUCAUACUGGAGAGAAACCCUAUGAAUGCAGUGAAUGUGGGAAGGCCUUUUCCAGUAAGUCAUGUCUUACCCACCAUAGCAGGAUUCAUGCUGGAGAGUGUAAACCUUAAAAUUUCUUAGACUUAUAAAUGUUGGAAAUUUCACCAUUGGGAAAUUUCAUACUUGAAAAAUUUCCUAUUGAUACUGGGAACUCUAUUGGGAUGUGAACCCCAUUGGCAUGGGAGGGUCCUUCUCCUCCCUUCUUAAGAUUACUUUAGGACAGAAACCUUUUGCUGAGCAAUGGAAAGGGCUUUGACCUAUCCUUAAGCAUAGAACAGGAAUUUCUUUGAGUCAUGAUUGAUUUUAGAAUUGAUACAAUGGAGAUACUUGGAAUGACAGGACCAGGUCUUGGAAAUUGCAAUCUCCACCCUACUCAGUCCUAACAGGAUUUAGGAAGGGCUGCAGCAUAGAUCAAAAUUAUUCUAAUCUCUACCCUACUCAGGGUAAUAGGAUUUAGGAAGGGCUGUAGCAAAAGAUCAAGAUUUAAUUAUUUGAGAAUAUGACCUUCAACAGACAUGUGCAAAGCCACAGACCUCUGGGCGGUCCUGGGUUAAGCUAGAGCCACCAUUGGCAUAGGGAAAAUGAUGGACAGUGAUUGGUAGAUGUGAGAACUGAGGGGAGGGAACUUGGAUGGUUUCCUUAAAGAUAGAGGGGUCUGAGGACUGAGGGGGUUGGUUGGAGAGUUUUGGCUCUGAGUGGUUGGAGAGGUGCUCUGAGAAGCUUGCUCUGAAGGAAGCUGGAGGUGGAGGCCCUUCAGACUGUUUCUCCAUUUUGGUCACAUGAGUAAUAGGGACUGAUCUCCAUCCUUUGCCCCAGCUAUCUAAGGGCUUGGGCCUUUUGGCCCAGCCUAAACAGAAGGGGUAUUUAAGCCCUAUUCCCUUCUCUCCCCUUUCUCUCUCUCUCUCUCUCUCUCUCUCUCUCUCUCUCUCUCUCUAAUUCCUUUCUUCCUCCUGUUUGUAAUUAAACUCUAUAAAAGGUUGACAGCUGACUUGAGUUUUCAUUUAGGAAUUACAUAGCUGAAUUCCUUGGCAACCUUAAAUUAAUAUAUAUCAGUCUUUUAAAGUGAUUUCCUUGUCACAAGAGAAACCUUUUCAAUAUGAUAUUUGUGGAAAAGUACUUCUCUCUAAAUUUAACCUGAACCGUCAUCAGAAAACCCAUAUUGAAGAGAAACCUUUUUUGUGCAGUGUUUGUGGGAAAGGUUUUCCUGGGAAAAAAACUCUGACUGCACAUCAAAGAACUCAUGCUGGAAAGAGAACCUCUGAGUGCAGUGAAUGAGGAAAGAUCUUUCCUCGAAAGUCAUCUUACAUCUCACUCUACUAUUCAUAUUGGGGGAAAAAUCUUUUGAAUGAGAAGGCUUUGGGAAAGCCUUUCCCCAGAAAACAGCACUGACUCUCCCCAUCAGAAAACAUAUUCUUGGGGAGAAACAUUAUGAGUGCGAUGUAUGUGGAAAGGCUACACCCACAAUAAAAGUCUUUUCUUUCAUAAGAAAAUACAUUGGUAUGGGGCUGGAGCCCACCAGCUGUGUGGUUUAGUAGAUGGAGAGCCAGACGUAUUGUGUAAUUAGAAAUCUUCAAUUCUUGAACUUCAUCUCCCAGAAUUCUUUUUAAUUCAUCCAUGUUACAUCCUCACAUUUGGUAAAUAAGUUGUGUGUAACUCCACCCUUUCUCUUUCUUCUGAUGGCGCUCUGUGCUCUGAUGGCUAUGAGUGGGGUUGUGGGAAGCUUUCUUUCUUUAACUGAGAUUAUUUUCCUUAUUCUUCAAAUAUUUAUUAAUAAACUAUAUAAAACGUAAUACUUGAAGUAUUUGGAUAUUAAUAUUUAACCUUACUUAUUUGGCCUACCACUUUGGGAAACAAAUUCUCAGAAUUUCUUCUCAGCCUCUCAGGGAAGUCAGUAAGUUUGUCCAGCUGUGGGGUCUUGUCCCACCACAGGAGUUGGGAGAGGUUUGGAGGUCGGUCACUGCUUCUAUCUCCUGCUCGCUCACCCUGCUUGGCUUCCACUGCAGCUGCCGCUGUCCCAGCAGCCAUUCCUGCUCCUCCUCCUGAUGCUACUGUGGCUUAUUGUUGCUGUUACUGCUCCCUGAAGACAUAGCCAUUGUUCACUGCUCUGUACACACCUGGCACUGACCCUGUCUCUAGGGGAAAUGUCUGAGAAGAUUCUGCUGCAAAACUAGUGGCCAUAGAAGGGUCUGAAUUAAUUUUAACAUUCACAACCAUUGAUGACUUAAAUUUAUCACUUUCCUAUAAUGAAAAGGAAAUGGAAAAAUGGAAGCAAAAAUGUAAAGUAAAACAGAUUCGUGUAGUAUGGUUGUCAUCUGAAGGAAAACUCCAGCUCCCUAGAAGUUUUUAUCAACAAAUUUGAUGAUCGAUGCAUAAAAUGGCUAUUUUGGCACCCAGGGAAUUGUAGAUUCUGUUAAGAGUAUGGAAAGCCCCUGGUAUAACUACUAUAGCCUCUAAAGUGUGUACAGCCUGUUCUACCUGCCAAGCAUUUAACCAACACACCUUUUGUGGCAAACCUUUUGGUGGACAUCCUCACUUAUACACCAUUUCAGCAUUUACAAAUUGAUUUUAUCUCUAUGACAAAAGCUGAAGAGUAUAAAUGUGAAUUUUAGAUUUAAUCCACCCUGCUUAUACUAACAAAACAGGAAUGUCUACACCCCUACUUAAGAAUUAAAUGUUAAGCAAGCAAGAGCUAGAAAAAAAAUCAGAAAAUGUAAAAUCAAUAAUUUUGAUUACAUUAAAUUAAAAAGUUUUUGUACAAACAAAAUGCAUCCAAAAUUAGAAGGGAAGCAACAAAUUGGAAAACAAUCUUCAUUACAAAAACGUCUGACAAAGGUCUAAUUACUCAAAUUUAUAAAGAGCUAAACCAAUUGUACAAAAAAAUCAAGCCAUUCUCCAAUUGAUAAAUGAGCAAGGGACAUGAAUAGGCAAUUUUCAGUUAAAGAACUCAAAACAAUAAGCACAUGAAAAAGUGUUCUAAAUCUCUUAUAAUCAGAGAGAUGCAAAUCAAAACAACACUGAGGUAUCACCCCACACUUAAGCAGAAUGGCCAACAUAACAACAAAGGAAUGUAAUAAAUGUUGAAGGGGAUGCGGCAAAAUUGGGACACUAAUUCAUUGCUGGUGGAGUUGUGAAUUGAUCCAACCAUUCUGGAGGCCAAUUUGGAGCUAUGUCCAAAGGAGGAUAAAAGACUGUCUGCCCUUUGAUCCAGCCAUAGCACUGCUGGGUUUGUACCCCAAAGAGAUAAUAAGGAAAAAGACAUGUACAAAAAUAUUUAUAGCUGUGCUCUUUGUGGUGGCAAAAAAUUGGAAAAUGAGGUUAUGCCCUUCAACUGGGGAAUGAUUGAACAAAUUGUGUUAUAUGUUGGUGAUGGAAUACUAUUGUGCUCAAAGGAAUAAUAAAGUGGAGGAAAUCCAUGGGCACUGAAACAACUUCCAGGAAUUGAUGCAAAGUCUCUCUCAGAGAGACACGGCUCUCGCUCUGUCUCCCACUAGUGGAGAUGUUGGUCUCUGUCAGCAACUUGGGGGGUGUUGGGUAGCGUUUAGCAUCUUGGGUCUUGGUGUGGGUGUGCUAGGUGAGUAGUUUAGACUGAUUCCUUUUUCCUUUACCUUCCAAAACACUAUCCUCUUAGGAAGCCCCUAAUCUUCUGAGGAGGCCUUGUGGUGGAGGUCUUUGAACUCCCCUUGGCACAGGCUAGACCGGAGAAAUUUUAUACCUUUUCCCCUCUUUCUUCUUAAUUCCUUCCCUCUAUAUUAAUUAAACCACUCAAAAAUUCAAAACUGACUUGAGUAUUUUUAUUGGGAUUUGAAUUAAUCCCUGGUGGCCAACUAAAUUUAUAUUUCAGUCAAAAACCCCUAAAUUUACCUCAUAUAAAUUUUGUCUGGUCAUAGUCAAUCAGCUGACUUAGUGACCUGAAGCAUUUCCUACUGUUCAGGACACAGUGACUUUUGUCGCCAAAGUACUUUUGAAAGAAAUUAUUCCUUGUUUUGUCCUGCCAGCAUGUAUUGAUUUGGAUAGGGGAACUCAUUUUACUGAGUCAAUCUUACUGCAAAUUUAUUCAUGUUUGGGGAUAACUCCUAAAUUUCAUAUACCAUAUCAUUCCCAGAGCUCUGACUAAGUUGAAAGAAUGAAUAAAGAACUUAAAACUAUGAUUGGCAAAUUGUGCACAGAGACUCAUUUAAAAUGGCCAGAAUUUAUGAGAAAGAAUACUAUACACAUUCAGAGGAAGAACUGUGGGAAUAGAAACUAUAAAAAUAAAAUUUGGUGAGUUAUAAAAUAAAAGAUUUAGAUGGAAAAACUGUUCCAAUAUAGAUUGAAGACUGUUUAACUCGCCAAGCAGGUUCAAACUGUUUGGAUACUUUUAAUAGAGAUAAUCAAAAGAAUCUUCAGUGAUAAAGUGAAGCUCAAAUAUGAAUUUCCCUUCAGGUCCAGGUUCAAGGACGCUCAAGAGACUCUUAUUAUAAACAUAAAAUGCUUAUUGAAAUAUAUAAGGAUAAAUAAAGGGUUUCUAAUUCUAAGGGAUUCUAAAUCCACCCAAAUAAACUCCCAGGUUCCAUAAGCAACUGCUUCUCCUGUGUUUCACUAGCUACACUAAUCUUCCAUGAUCUGACAAACCCAAAUUUAUGCUAUCUACAUAAAAACUACCACUAUUAUACUUAUAAAUCUUAACUUUGCCUUCAGAUUACAAAAUAGCAAAGGCUGCUGGUUGAGUCUCAACAAGAAUCAAGUUAGGACUCUAGGUGAAUGUGAAAGCCCCUUGCUAUGGGAGGAUCUCUACCCCAUCCCUACUUGGGACUGCUUUAGGGGAGAAAACUCCUUGCUAUGGGAGGACCUCUAUUCCACACGAACUUAAGAAUGCUUUAGGGCAGAAAACUCCUUGCUAAACAAUGAAAGUACUUGAAAACCAUACUCAUAAAGGAAAGGAGUUCUUUGAGCCAUGCCUAUUUUUGGAAUUGAUACAAUGGGAUGCUAAGUGCCUAUAAAGGUGGGGCAACUUGUAAACUACUUAGACCUAAAAGGUGAAAACUCACUCAGAGGUUUCCUCUUAAUGAAAUUAGUGGACACAGCAGCAUUUUUUUUGACUUACUAAAGAGAUUAAUCUACUCAGCUGUGAAUUCAAAAUGGGCUGUCUUUUGGAAAACAUCUACAGUGAUUGGUAGAUGGAAGAACUUAGGGGAGGUGACAUAGGAGAUUUUGCCCUUAAAAAUAAGAGCUCGCCAGAAGAGCUAAAAGUCAUUCUGAAACAUUGAGAUUGAGGAGAUCAUUCUGAAACAUUCAGAUUGAGGGGGAGUCAUUCUGAAACAUUCAGAUGGAGGAAGGACUGAUUCUGAAACAUUCAGAUGGAGGAGGGAGCUGGUGAAAGCAGCUGAGAUGAUGCUGGCUUGGUGUCACUAGAUUCCUUGCUUAGGCUGACCUUGUGGUGAGUGUUAAAAGACUGACUGACUGAUCUCUCACUGUCUUAAGACUCAGGUCUAGGCCAUGUUGGCUUAAAGCCCUUCAUACUUAUUUCCUUUUUCUCUUUUCUUUAAUUCCACAUUUAUAUUAAUUAAAAUCUCUAUAAAACCCAGUUGACUUGGGUAUUUGAAUAAUUGGGAAUAUUUCCCUGGCAACCACCUUAUAUUUGAUUUUAAAUCCAAGACACUGUAGUGAAAAAUAUUUUCUGCGGCCAAAUUUUCUCACCCUCUCUUAUAUCUAUCACAAUUUAUAUCUUCCACCAUUUUAACUCACUACAGUAUAUGGGCUUCACUAUCUUAAAUCUCACAAGACUGAGGCUUUGAACCCCUCCUUUUCUACCCCUCCUGCUGUAGCUGAAUGUUCUUCCAAAAUCUACUGAUGCAAGCAUUCUCUGGAAAUCCCGGUUAGGUGGUUACAUAUUGUGGUUUAUCUGCCUAUAGAAUACUGUCUAGAUUCAAUGAGGUUAACCAAACCCUUUGUACCAAACUUGUAAAUCAUUACCUUUUGUAAAAAAUGGACUCGAAUAGAGGACUACAAUCCCCACAAGCCUUUGCUCCACUUUCCCAAAAUGUUUUGUAAUCUCAGGGGAAUUCUGAGGUGGGCCGAGAUCGAGGAAGGAUUUAAGCUGGUGGCAAAGGUUUUUGGUUCUUCUUUUGGACUUCUGUUUUGGAGCAGAUGCAUCUCUUCCGUGAUGUGAGGUUAUCUGGCCUAGGCACGUGUUUUUUCUUACUUGUAUAUUCUUUAAUCCUUAAUCCUUAAUAAACCUUUAAAAAAUAUGAUACUCCUUGCAGAGAGAAACUAAUUUCAGAUGCCUCAGUCUCCCCAUAUUCCUAAAUUUUAACUGUUACAGAUGGCAACUACUAGAUUGGAUGAGAACUUCUCAAAUUUUUUACCCUAGAGAAUUUUUUUUAAGCCAUGUAUCUCCAAGAUGCCUCUUAGAAAACCGUCUUGAUCAGCUCCUGCCUGGAGCCCUCUCCGGCUCCUGCUUCUGCUCCUGGCCUCUCACCUGGUGCCUGAGCUCCCGGACCUGUUUGUCUGCAUGCCGGCUCCAGGCCCUACCCAACCUGGCCGUCUGUCUCUCACCCAUCUGACCUCCGACCCAGCUGGCUCAUCACCCAGAUCCUUGGAGCAGAUUGCUGAGGACUCAUUUCGACCAGCUGAUAACAGUAUUGGCCACAUGGGUGGAGGGGAGAGAGGAGAGGGAAAGGAGAAAGGGUAAUUUUCCCUUAGGCUAAGCCUCUACGUGGAUGUGGGUAUUGGCCACAGGGGGAUCAUAUCAGGGGAGAGAGAAAAGGGAGAGGAGAAGAAACAGAUUUUUCAAACAGAAACUUAAUGGCAAUGGGCUGUUUAAAAGGAUACCUUUUGACUGUUCUGGUAAUUUCAUUGAUUUCACCUGCAUGCCAGAAGAAAGAUUCAGCCCAAAGAUUCAACUUUGAAUUUGCAAAUGGGUGGCUCAGGGCACUGAGAGCAUGGUUCUGGGUUAAAAUCUGGCCUCAGAUACUUCCCAGCUAUGGGGUCCUGGUCGGGUCCCUUGAAACCCAUUGCCUAGCUCUUACUACUCUGCCUUUGGACAAUAGACAUUUAAAUGGGUAAACACACUUAAGGAACUUUGAAGAGACUAAAGGCUAUAUUCUAAGGCAUUUCAGACUCCAAUGGUUUAUAAAAAUUUCUGUAUUCUAUUGCAUUUUUUGUUAUGGUUUAACUUUGUGAUUUUAAGUUCAUAUAUUACUGGAUUCAAUAUUAUUCUGCUUGAACUGAAGAUUGAUUGAAUUUAUUUUGAAUGUACUGAGUUUUAAAAAUUCUGUUGUUUUUCCCCUAUAACUAUUGAACAAAUAUUAUUGUGAAUAAGCCCAUAUAUGAAAAAAUAGCCUUUUUCUAUUUUGCUGAGGAUAGAUGGACUUCAGAACUGGUUAUAAUUGUAUUAACAACCUUGGAAAAUUUAAUGUGCUAAAUACCUCAAAUUAUUUGAUUUUAAGGGUUUUUUAAAUAUUAUUUUUGGAAAUUUUUUUUAACCAUCUGGUUAUUUUUGCCUGCCCCUACCAUGAGGUAAGGCCAAUUGUAGCUGAAGUGAAAUUCAUUUUAUAACCCCCAACCUUCCCAAAUGUGAAUGGAAGUUGGGCAGUUAAUCUCAGGGCAUUUGUAUCCCUAAAAGCCUCCAAAAAAGGAGCACCCCUUUAUUUAUGCUCUUCAGCUCACUAUUUAACUUCCACCAGAAUGAUAUAUAGAUUUCUUGAUUAUGUUCUUAACCCAAGAUGAGUUUUACUUUGUUUAAAAAUGUUUAUUACCAAGGUUGAAGGAUUGCUAUGUUUGUAAAAAUUGUGACAAAUGUCCAUCAAUUCAUAAGCUUUAAAAAUGUCAUACAGGAACUUAUGUGAAAUAUGAAAGUGUGUUUGUUUGCUAUUGUAAUUAAUUGGGCUAUUGAGAAUUUUGGGGAUUUUGAUACCUACAUAUCUGUACUACUGUAUUUUUAAAGAUGAAAAAAUUGUUAACCUUGUUCAAUUCAUUUGCCUUCUACUCACAGUGAUCAUGGCCAGAUAUUAAGAGGAAAAGGAUCUCAUUUUUGGUGAGAAAGUCUUGCAUUUUAUAUUUUUGUAGCUGACACAGUGUGUCAAUGAUUAUAAGCUAUAUUUUUUAAUUUUUAAAGCUCUUUUAUUAUUAUAUUUUUCUUGCAUGUGCAAUAUACUUUUUCAGGUUUUUUAUUAUUUUUUUCUCCUUUUUAUAUUUGAAGCACGUCACCAGCAUUAAGAUUUUCUUUAACUUUUUGACUUUUCAGUGCUACAAGUUUGAAAUACAUUUGCUAAUGCAUGCCCUAAAAAGCUUGUGAGUAUAAAAAUGAUGCCACUAAUUAUUUAAAAGUUAUGGGACUUUGCUUAAUGAUUCUGUCUGAUUCCAGGACAAGAUAUACACAAAAGAGCCACUGCAUAGUGCCAAUAGAGCAUAAGGUCAAAGAGACCAACCAAUCCUGGUGAAAUUGAUGUCACUUUGAGCCUAGACAAAGAGGACUUGAACGUGUUUGUGGUUCGAGGUUGCGGCUGUUUAACAUGUGUUAAAAGCAGGUCUUCCUUGUUCCACAUUCUACCAAGUACCUCAAACUUGGCUCCCGGAACCUUGGCUUAUAUACUCUGGUCCCCUUUCUGCCUCUCAUAGUGUGGUAACUUUCUGUAGUCCUGGCUACUGACUGGAUAAAUGCAUCAUUGCUUAGAUCAUUUUGAUUGGGCCCUGAUUGAAGGACCUUUAUAGAUUUAUUUUUCUUUUACUUGGAAUUUUUACACAUAAGACUUUGAUAGUCUAUAUUUUCAUCCAGAAAUUUUUCUUUUCCUUUUGAUUUUUCUGAUUUUUUUUUAAUAUCUCUUGCCAAUUGAUUCAUAUACCUCAUACCUCAGCCAUGUAUCCCUAAGUGAUCCUUUUUUUUUUUUAAUUGCCCUCUUAAUGGGGGGGGGGGGAAUGUAAAAAAUAUUAUUAUUUAAAUUGCAAAGUUUAAAUUCCUUUUGAGAAGAAUUUUAGGUAAAUAAAGAUGCUACCUCUCUGAAUCCAGAACUGAACUGUUGGAGAAGCCACCAUGAAGAAGCCUCCAGACCACAAGUUGCACAAAAUUGAACUUUGGGUGUGGUUGAUUGAACAUUUAUUUGUAUCUGUACUUUCAUGCCAAAGGGGACUGCCCCCUAACUGGCUUUUUGUCAAUGCGUUCAGCAAUUAUUGGGUUUGUUUGUUUGUUUUUCUCUUAUCCUCAAAUUAUUUUAAUCUUUAAAUUGAUUAUGUUUUCAUGAUCCUUUGGAAAAAAAAUUAAUUUUUUUUGCAAACCAUCAAACGGAGAAAUGUAAAAAAUAGACUCUAAUACAGGACUACAAUCCCCACAAGCCUUUGCUCCACUUCCCCAAAAUGCUUUGUAAUCUCACGGGAAUUCUGAGGUGGGCCGAGAUCGAGGAAGGAUUUAAGCUAGUGGCAAAGGUUUUUGGGGGGGUCUUUUGGACUUCCGUUUUGAAGCAGGCUUGUCUCUUGCGUGAUGUGAGGUUAUUUUGUCUAGAUCUCUGGCCUAGGCACAUGUUUCUUACUUGUAUAUUCUUUAAUCUUUAACCUUUAAUAAACCUCUAAAAAAUAUAAAA